rnacentral:rRNA from 1 species
AGCUCCAAUAGCGUAUAUUAAAGUUGCUGCAGUUAAAAAGCUCGUAGUUGCAUUUCCGAGGCAAGGGAUUAGUCCGACCUUUGGUGGGUAUUUAAUCCUCUUGCCUCGUCCUUGAGUGGUGCUUCUUGGUAUUAAGUUAUCGAGGAGAUAGCCGCUCAUCGUUUACUGUGAGAAAAUUAGAGUGUUCAAAGCAGGCUUAUGCCGUUGAAUAUAUUAGCAUGGAAUAAUAAGAUAGGGACUCGGUACUAUUUUGUUGGUUUGAGAACCAAGGUAAUGAUGAAUAGGGACAGUUGGGGGUAUUCGUAUUCAGUUGUCAGAGGUGAAAUUCUUAGAUUUACGGAAGACGAACUACUGCGAAAGCAUUUACCAAGGAUGUUUUCA